UAGGAUUGCCUGUGGAGGAUACCUUCAGU
rnacentral:piRNA from 1 species